rnacentral:rRNA from 1 species
AUGCAAGACAUGGCAUUUCAAACUUUGGAGGCAUUCAAGGUUCAACACAAUGACAAGUGCUUCAACCUCUCCCAUUGCUAUCGGGUCAUCAAGGACGAAGAGAAGUUCAAGGCGCGAUAUGCCGCACUCAAGGCACGUGGGGGGAAGAAAGCCAUGAAGGAUGUUGGGAAGGGCGAGCCGGCACGGCCGUGGGGGAAGACCAACUUCAAGAAGGAGGACAAGCGAGAUGCGGCCACCAACGCCUUGAUCGCAAGCGUGGACGGCAUGACGAAUAAGAAGGACUCAAGAGAGGAGGAGCGCUGGCGUUUCAAGGCGGAGCAAAUGGAUGCUUUUAUGGAGAUCCAAAGGAGGAGGCUUGAUCUUGACGCCGAGAAGCAAGCCAAGAUGUUCGAGCUCGAGGCGGAGAAGCAAGCCAAGAUGCUAGAGAUCGAGGCCGCCAACGCUAAGACCAAGGCGAAAGAAGUGGCUCUUGCGAGCAUGAUGACCGGGAUGGAGAUCAUGAAGGUGGAUCUCAACAUCGUGUCGCCAAGGAAGAGGCCGUGGUUCGAGAAGAUGUAG